rnacentral:rRNA from 1 species
UGGGGAAUAUUGGACAAUGGGCGCAAGCCUGAUCCAGCCAUACCGCGUGGGUGAAGAAGGCCUUCGGGUUGUAAAGCCCUUUUGUUGGGAAAGAAAAGCAGCCGGUUAAUACCUGGUUGUUCUGACGGUACCCAAAGAAUAAGCACCGGCUAACUUCGUGCCAGCAGCCGCGGUAAUACGAAGGGUGCAAGCGUUACUCGGAAUUACUGGGCGUAAAGCGUGCGUAGGUGGUUGUUUAAGUCUGUCGUGAAAGCCCUGGGCUCAACCUGGGAAUGGCGAUGGAAACUGGGCAACUAGAGUGUGGUAGAGGGUAGUGGAAUUUCCGGUGUAGCAGUGAAAUGCGUAGAGAUCGGAAGGAACAUCUGUGGCGAAGGCGACUACCUGGACCAACACUGACACUGAGGCACGAAAGCGUGGGGAGCAAACAG